CCUACGGGAGGCUGCAGUGAGGAAUAUUGGACAAUGGGGGGAACCCUGAUCCAGCCAUGCCGCGUGUGUGAAGAAGGCCCUCGGGUUGUAAAGCACUUUCAGUGAGGAAGAACGCCUGGUGGUUAAUACCCAUCAGGAAAGACAUCACUCACAGAAGAAGCACCGGCUAACUCCGUGCCAGCAGCCGCGGUAAUACGGAGGGUGCGAGCGUUAAUCGGAAUUACUGGGCGUAAAGCGCGCGUAGGUGGCUUGAUAAGCCGGUUGUGAAAGCCCCGGGCUCAACCUGGGAACGGCAUCCGGAACUGUCAAGCUAGAGUGCAGGAGAGGAAGGUAGAAUUCCCGGUGUAGCGGUGAAAUGCGUAGAGAUCGGGAGGAAUACCAGUGGCGAAGGCGGCCUUCUGGACUGACACUGACACUGAGGUGCGAAAGCGUGGGUAGCAAACAGGAUUAGAUACCCCAGUAGUC
rnacentral:rRNA from 1 species